rnacentral:rRNA from 1 species
UCCUGGCUCAGAAUGAACGCUGGCGGCGUGCUUACACAUGCAAGUCGAACGAGAAAUCUUUAGCUUGCUAGAGAAAGUAAAGUGGCGCACGGGUGAGUAACGCGUGGGUAAUCUGCCUCCGAAUCGGGGAUAACAUUGCGAAAGCGAUGCUAAUACCGGAUAAAAUCUGGUUGGCUUCGGUGAACCGGAUCAAAGGUGGUCUCUUUAUAAAAGCUACCGUUUGGAGAUGAGCUCGCGUACCAUUAGCUAGUUGGUGAGGUAAAGGCUCACCAAGGCGACGAUGGUUAGCUGGUCUGAGAGGAUGAUCAGCCACACCGGAACUGGAACACGGUCCGGACCCCUACGGGAGGCAGCAGUGAGGAAUUUUGCGCAAUGGGGGAAACCCUGACGCAGCAACGCCGCGUGAGUGAUGAAGGCUUUCGGGUCGUAAAGCUCUGUCGGGUGGGAAGAACCCACCAAGUGUUAAGACCACUUGGUGCUGACGGUACCACCGAAGGAAGCACCGGCUAACUCCGUGCCAGCAGCCGCGGUAAUACGGGGGGUGCGAGCGUUAUUCGGAAUCAUUGGGCGUAAAGGGCGCGCAGGCGGUUUUGUAAGUCAGAUGUGAAAUCCCGGGGCUUAACCCCGGAAGUGCAUAUGAAACUAUGAGACUUGAGUAUGGGAGAGGGAAGCGGAAUUCCUGGUGUAGCGGUGAAAUGCGUAGAUAUCAGGAGGAACACCGGUGGCGAAGGCGGCUUCCUGGACCAAUACUGACGCUGAGGCGCGAAGGCGUGGGGAGCGAACAGGAUUAGAUACCCUGGUAGUCCACGCAGUAAACGUUGAUCACUAGGUGUAGCGGGUAUUGACCCCUGCUGUGCCCGGAGUUAACGCAUUAAGUUGAUCCGCCUGGGGGAGUACGAUCGCAAGAUUAAACUCAACGGAAUUGACGGGGGCCCGCACAAGCGGUGGAGCAUGUGCUUNAAUCCGACGCAACGCGAAGAACCUUACCUGGACUUG